AUGUCUCGAUCGCCGCUUCAGUUGUGGAGCGAGAGCUUACGCAAUGGAGCGGAGUGAUGAGCACAUUAUCCGAGGCAAUUUUUUUAGUGCCUGGCCGCGAAAUGCCGCCGGGCCGU
ensembl:snRNA snRNA:LU small nuclear RNA Like U